UGAGUACGAGACGCUACGGCGUCGAAGCAGUCUAUGUCAUACUUCCAAGAAAAGCUUGCACUGUCAUAAACAAAUAAUGCCUGUACCAUAACCGACACAGGUGGGUAGGUAGAGUAUACUAAGGGGCGCGAGAUAACUCUCUCUAAGGAACUCGGCAAAAUGACUCCGUAACUUCGGGAGAAGGAGUGCCUUAUUCUUAAGGUUGCAAUAACAAGAUCCAAGCAACUGUUUAUCAAAAACACAGGUCUCCGCUAAGUCGUAAGACGAUGUAUGGGGGCUGACGCCUGCCCAGUGCCAGAAGGUUAAAGAAGUUGGUUAGCAUUCGCGAAGCUGAUAACUGAAGCCCUGGUGAACGGCGGCCGUAACGAUAACGGUCCUAAGGUAGCGAAAUUCCUUGUCGGGUAAGUUCCGACCCGCACGAAAGGCGUAAUGAUUUGGAUACUGUCUCGGAGAGGGGCUCGGUGAAAUAGACUUGUCUGUGAAGAUGCGGACUACCUGCACCUGGACAGAAAGACCCUAUGAAGCUUUACUGUAACUUGAAAUUGAAAUUGGACUUUAUUUGCGCAGUAUAGGUGGGAGGCGUUGAGAAUAUUCUUGCGGGAAUAUUGGAGCCAUCAGUGAGAUACCACUCUUGUAAUGUUAGAUUUCUAACUUUGAAUCAUUAUCUGGUCAAAGGACAGUUUCAGGCGGGCAGUUUGACGGGGCGGUCGCCUCCUAAAUGGUAACGGAGGCGCACAAAGGUUUCCUCUGAACGGGUAGAAAUCGUAUCUAGAGUGUAAAGGCAUAAGGAAGCUUGACUGUGAGACCUACAAGUCGAGCAGGGACGAAAGUCGGUCUUAGUGAUCUGACGGUGCUGAGUGGAAAGGCCGUCACUCAACGGAUAAAAGAUACUCUAAGGAUAACAGGCUGAUCUCCCCCAAGAGUUCACAUCGACGGGGAGGUUUGGCACCUCGAUGUCGGCUCAUCGCAUCCUGGGGCGGUAGUACGUCCCAAGGGUUGGGCUGUUCGCCCAUGAAAGCGGUACGCGAGCUGGGUUCAGAACGUCGUGAGACAGUUCGGUCCAUAUCCGGUGUAGGCGUUAGAAUAUUGAGAGGAGCCUUCUUUAGUACGAGAGGACCGAGAAGGACAUACCUCUGGUGUACCAGUUAUCGUGCCAACGGUAAACGCUGGGUAGCUAUGUAUGGAGAGGAUAACCGCUGAAAGCAUCUAAGUGGGAAGCCCACCUCAAGAUAAGUAUUCU
rnacentral:rRNA from 1 species